rnacentral:misc_RNA from 1 species
AACUUUUGACAACGGAUCUCUUGGUUCUGGCAACGAUGAAGAACGCAGCGAAAUGCGAUAAGUACUGUGAAUUGCAGAAUUCAGUGAAUCAUCGAAUCUUUGAACGCACAUUGCGCCCCUGGUAUUCCGGGGGGCACACCUGUUCGAGCGCCAUUUCUACCCUAGAGCCCUGCUCUGUGAUGGGCCUCGUCCUCGCGGACGGGCCCGAAACCCGUGGGCGCCGUCGUCCGGCCCUGAGCGUAGCAAGAGAAAUCCCUCGCUCGGAGUGUCUGGUGGUGGCUGCCCCGACCUAUUUUUACAAGGUUGGCCUCGGAUCAGGUGGGGAUACCCGCUGAACUUAAGCAUAUCAAUAAGCGGAGGCU